rnacentral:rRNA from 1 species
CCUACGGGAGGCAGCAGUAGGGAAUCUUCGGCAAUGGGGGCAACCCUGACCGAGCAACGCCGCGUGAGUGAAGAAGGUUUUCGGAUCGUAAAGCUCUGUUGUAAGUCAAGAACGGGUGUGAGAGUGGAAAGUUCACACUGUGACGGUAGCUUACCAGAAAGGGACGGCUAACUACGUGCCAGCAGCCGCGGUAAUACGUAGGUCCCGAGCGUUGUCCGGAUUUAUUGGGCGUAAAGCGAGCGCAGGCGGUUUGAUAAGUCUGAAGUUAAAGGCUGUGGCUCAACCAUAGUUCGCUUUGGAAACUGUCAAACUUGAGUGCAGAAGGGGAGAGUGGAAUUCCAUGUGUAGCGGUGAAAUGCGUAGAUAUAUGGAGGAACACCGGUGGCGAAAGCGGCUCUCUGGUCUGUAACUGACGCUGAGGCUCGAAAGCGUGGGGAGCGAACAGGAUUAGAUACCCUGGUAGUCCACGCCGUAAACGAUGAGUGCUAGGUGUUGGAUCCUUUCCGGGAUUCAGUGCCGCAGCUAACGCAUUAAGCACUCCGCCUGGGGAGUACGACCGCAAGGUUGAAACUUAAAGGAAUUGACGG